CUAUACAUGCAGUCGAGCGAACAGAGAAGGAGCUUGCUCCUUUGACGUUAGCGGCGGACGGGUGAGUAACACGUGGGCAACCUACCUUAUAGUUUGGGAUAACUCCGGGAAACCGGGGCUAAUACCGAAUAAUCUGUUCCACCUCAUGGUGGAACACUGAAAGACGGUUUCGGCUGUCGCUAUAAGAUGGGCCCGCGGCGCAUUAGCUAGUUGGUGAGGUAACGGCUCACCAAGGCGACGAUGCGUAGCCGACCUGAGAGGGUGAUCGGCCACACUGGGACUGAGACACGGCCCAGACUCCUACGGGAGGCAGCAGUAGGGAAUCUUCCACAAUGGGCGAAAGCCUGAUGGAGCAACGCCGCGUGAGUGAAGAAGGUUUUCGGAUCGUAAAACUCUGUUGUAAGGGAAGAACAAGUACAGUAGUAACUGGCUGUACCUUGACGGUACCUUAUUAGAAAGCCACGGCUAACUACGUGCCAGCAGCCGCGGUAAUACGUAGGUGGCAAGCGUUGUCCGGAAUUAUUGGGCGUAAAGCGCGCGCAGGCGGUCCUUUAAGUCUGAUGUGAAAGCCCACGGCUCAACCGUGGAGGGUCAUUGGAAACUGGGGGACUUGAGUGCAGAAGAGGAAAGUGGAAUUCCAAGUGUAGCGGUGAAAUGCGUAGAGAUUUGGAGGAACACCAGUGGCGAAGGCGACUUUCUGGUCUGUAACUGACGCUGAGGCGCGAAAGCGUGGGGAGCAAACAGGAUUAGAUACCC
rnacentral:rRNA from 1 species